UACAGAGGUCUCAAGCGUUGUUCGGAUUCAUUGGGCGUAAAGGGUGCGUAGGCGGCGGGGCAAGUCUGAUGUGAAAUCCCGGGCUCAACCCCGGAACUGCAUUGGAUACUGCCUUGCUCGAGUACUGGAGAGGGAACUGGAAUUUACGGUGUAGCAGUGAAAUGCGUAGAGAUCGAUAAGGAAGGCCAGUGGCGAAGGCGAGUUCCUGGACAGUUACUGACGCUGAGGCACGAAGGCCAGGGAGCAAACGGG
rnacentral:rRNA from 1 species